rnacentral:lncRNA from 1 species
GCCGGCGCGCGGCUCCCCUCCGUCCGGGCUCGGCGGGAGCCGCUGGCUGCAGCCCCGGUGGGGACGUCCCCCGUGGCUCUUGCACUCCGGGAGCUCCCGGUGGAGCUGCGGGCGCCGCCGAGUCGCGGCUGCAGCCCGGAGGAAGGGGCGAGAGGGAAGAACCUUCUGUUGGAUGAAAUAAAAGCAAACACUGGGCCUUCUGCUCUGCCUCCACCUCCACGCCCCUCCCGCUCGCCCGCUCGCCCGCCCCGAUUUGCACGGAAAUAGCUUCUUCUCCAGGCUCCUGGGCCGCCCCUUCGCGGUGACUCGCAGAAAGAGCUUCCUGAGCUCCGGCCGGUGGGAAACAAAGGAUGUGGGGAACUGGCGGAAGGGGCCCACGUGGCAGCCGCCAGAUUCCUGUCUCCUCCCGCCUCCGUCCACGCCCUAGGGUUACUUUUUGCCCCAAGAAAGAAACGGAAGCCUAGAACUUGCUGUGUCUCCUUGAAAGGCUGUCUCCCGAGUCUCCUUCCAAGGCUAAGUGCUAACAGCACGCAAGGAGUCUCCGAAGAGACUACAUUUGUGAGACUACAAUUUGCAUAGAAAGGAACCAUUAGGGGGACCUCCAUCUGCAACACCCUGGACCUGGG